rnacentral:siRNA from 1 species
UAGUCAAUAGCUUGACUUUGCUGG